rnacentral:rRNA from 1 species
UUUAAGCCCAGCUUGAGAAUCGGGCGCCACUCGGCGUCCGAAUUGUAGUCUGGAGAAGCGUCCUCAGCGGCGGACCGCGCCCAAGUCCCCUGGAAGGGAGCACCGGAGAGGGUUAGAGCCCCGUCGUGCCCGGACCCUGUCGCACCACAAGGCACUGUCGGCGAGUCAGACUGUUUGGGAAUGCAGCCCCAAUCGGGCGGUAAAUUCCAUCCAAGGCUAAAUAUGGGCGAGAGACCGAUAGCAAA